GCCCCUGUGGUGGAAUGGUAGACGCGGCAGACUCAAAAUCUGUUGUCCUUUGGGACGUGGGAGUUCAAGUCUCCCUGGGGGCACCA
rnacentral:tRNA from 2 species